GAGACGGGGAGAAAAGAUUCGAAGGGGGGGGCGGCAGCAGAGGGGGCGAGAGGUAGGAGGGAGAGAGGAAGGAGGAAGGAUUGAUCCGCGUCUGUUAAAGUCUUGUUCUGUUUUUUUCUUUAGAGCUUUUAGGUUUGAGCCGAAGCGCGUCUCGAGCGCAGCUCCCAAACUCCUGAAGCAGCUUUGUCCAGACGGAAGCUAACCUUGCAAUUUAAUUUUUUUUGCAAAGUGAAGAUCUACUUUACAGCAGCAAUCUGAUCCAAACGGCUCCAUUGUGGGCUAUUCUGCGUGCUUUCAUUGGGACUGAGUGUUGCUCGAGCAGCCCGCUGUUGAACACAAGGAGCGACUGACUGCAGGUCCCGGGCCGAUCUGUCACUGUGAUUAGGUAAACACGCCGGAUGGGAAGGCUCCAACUUUUGAUUGUGUGGAAGUAUAGCCUCCUUUAGUCCCGUGCACCGCGUCGCCCCUCCCGUCCCACCCACCCUCCCAGAACUGAGGAGCUGGGGAGUUUUCUCGGGUGAUUCUUCAACUUUAAAAAAGCUAGAAAACAAAUAAAAAUCUCGGAUUGCAAUUUUCUCUCCUCCCCCCACCACCUAGGAAGGUUUUGGGAGGUGAUGUCAUCGCGCGGUGGUUCGCCUGGUAUUGUGACCCGGGGGCGCGCGGAGCCCCGCUGCAGCCGGCCGACCCGCGGUUAGGAGGAGUGCGGGAAAUCAGCUGGACCUGGCGCUCACACCGCCAUCAUCACUAUCACCACCCUCUCUGUCGGACAUUUAUCGGUCUCUUCCUACCCACCAACACCUCCUCCACCGAUCACCGACCACCGCCAGCUGAAGGGGUCGUAGCCAUGACCGAGGCUAAUACCCUGCAGCACGCGGCGCGCGCCGACCCCCCGUCUCCAGGUCACCGAUCCUUCCGGCUGCCAGUGCAACAGCAGAUCGCGACCCCGCCUCGCGGUGGGCACUAGAACCCCGCUGUGCGACCCUCUCCACACCAGAUCGGACUAUUAACACACGCCAACGCACCCUCUUGUUGCGCUGCAAGUAACAUCUCACUCACGGAGACGAUCCGGCUACGUUUUGUUUUAUUGCAACGGAACACAUCCUGACUUGGAAUAUUCUAAACUUUACACCAGGGGACCGAACUGAGAGAACGCAAGAGAGGUGGGGGCCAACAAGUAAAGUUGUCAGUCUGUCAGUGUCGCUCGUGGUCGCGCUUUCACCUGUUCAUCGUUUCGCCGGCGGCGCGCAUGCAGCAGCCGAACCGAUGCCCUAACCUUUUCCCCCUGGGCCCCGCCCCUUAUUUUUUCUCGCGGGCCGGACAGCUGUGAGAGGUUGCCCUGCGGUCACAGUGACAUUCACCCCGCCUGACACCUCGCCCCUCGCCGUCCGCCGUUCGACCGCUCCGCCUGGGGACGCCGAGGCACCGCCGAUGCCAACAGCGGUAGCCGUUGACUCAUUGACUCUGCACACCGUCCAGCGGAUUCACUACACGCACGGGAACCCUCCGGUGCGCCGGGCUGGCUCGGACGGAGCGCCGCGGAGACUGACUCCGGGCCGAGGUCCUUAGUGGAUGGGGGAAGCGAUGUGGUCCCUGCUCCCCAUGCUGGCUGUCUUGUAAGUCACUCUCACACAAUCCAUUUCACUUUUUUAUAGGAAAUUGUAUCUUAACUUCUCUCUUUACCUUUCGUUCUUUGGGAUGAUGGUUGGGUGUCAGGUGUGUGUGUGUGUGUGUGUGUGUGUGUGUGUGUGUGUGUGUGUGUGUGUGUGUGUGUGUGUGUGUGUGUGUGUGUGUGUGUGUGUGUGUGUGUGUGUGUGU